UGGGGAAUAUUGCACAAUGGGGGAAACCCUGAUGCAGCAACGCCGCGUGAGUGAAGAAGGUUUUCGGAUUGUAAAGCUCUGUUAGCAGGGAAGAGGAAGGACGGUACCUGCAGAGGAAGCCACGGCUAACUACGUGCCAGCAGCCGCGGUAAUACGUAGGUGGCAAGCGUUGUUCGGAAUAACUGGGCGUAAAGGAUGCGUAGGCGGUUGAGUAAGUUAUGUGUUAAAUAUAUAGGCUUAACCUGUAGAAAGCACAUAAAACUGUUUAACUAGAGUGCAGGAGAGGUAAGUGGAAUUCCUAGUGUAGCGGUGAAAUGCGUAGAGAUUAGGAAGAACACCAGUGGCGAAGGCGACUUACUGGACUGUAACUGACGCUGAGGCAUGAGAGCAUGGGGAGCAAACA
rnacentral:rRNA from 1 species